rnacentral:piRNA from 1 species
UAUAUCCGCAUCCUGGCUGACCUAGA